rnacentral:rRNA from 1 species
AAUGAACGUUGGCGGCGUGGAUUAGGCAUGCAAGUCGUGCGGAAAGGCCCCGCAAGGGGUACUCGAGCGGCGUAAGGGAUAGUAAUGCGUGGAUACCUGCCCUGGGGACGGGGAUAGCUGCUGGAAACGGCGAUUAAUACCCGAUGACGUCUCCGGACCAAAGGUGCAAUUCCGCCCUGGGAGGGGUCCGCGUCCUAUUAGCUAGUUGGUGAGGUAACGGCUCACCAAGGCCACGAUGGGUAGCGGGUGUGAGAGCACGACCCGCAUCACUGGGGCUGAGACACUGCCCAGACACCUACGGGUGGCUGCAGUCGAGGAUCUUCGGCAAUGGGCGAAAGCCUGACCGAGCGACGCCGCGUGCGGGAUGAAGGCCUUCGGGUUGUAAACCGCUUUCGGAGGGGAGGAAGUGCAAGGGGGAUCACCCCCUCGUUUGACCUAUCCUCAGAAGAAGGACGGGCUAAGUUCGUGCCAGCAGCCGCCGUAA